rnacentral:misc_RNA from 1 species
GAUGAAGAACGCAGCGAAAUGCGAUAGGUAAUGUGAAUUGCAGAAUUCAGUGAAUCAUCGAGUCUUUGAACGCACAUUGCGCCCCCUGGUAUUCCGGGGGGCAUGCCUGUCCGAGCGUCAUUGCUGCCCUCAAGCACGGCUUGUGUGUUGGGCCUCCGUCCUCCUCCCGGGGGACGGGCCCGAAAGGCAGCGGCGGCACCGCGUCCGGUCCUCGAGCGUAUGGGGCUUCGUCACCCGCUCUUGUAGGCCCGGCCGGCGCUUGCCGACACAUCAAUCUUUUUUCCAGGUUGACCUCGGAUCAGGUAGGGAUACCCGCUAAACUUAAGCAUAUCAAUAAGCGGAGGA